rnacentral:snRNA from 1 species
GUCCCUUUGGGGACAUCCGAUAAAAUUGGAAUGAUACAGAGAAGAUUAGCAUGGCCUCUGCGCAAGGAUGACAUGCACAAAUCGAGAAAUGGUCCAAAAUUGU